rnacentral:rRNA from 1 species
GAUGAACGCUAGCUACAGGCUUAACACAUGCAAGUCGAGGGGAAACGGCAUUAAGUGCUUGCACUUUUUGGACGUCGACCGGCGCACGGGUGAGUAACGCGUAUCCAACCUUCCCAUGACUAAGGGAUAACCUGCCGAAAGGCAGACUAAUACCUUAUGGUCUUCACUGACGGCAUCAGAUGUGAAGUAAAGAUUUAUCGGUUAUGGAUGGGGAUGCGUCGGAUUAGCUUGUUGGCGGGGUAACGGCCCACCAAGGCAACGAUCAGUAGGGGUUGUGAGAGGAAGGUCCCCCACAUUGGAACUGGGACACGGUCCAAACUCCUACGGGAGGCAGCAGUGAGGAAUAUUGGUCAAUGGGCGAGAGCCUGAACCAGCCAAGUAGCGUGCAGGAUGACGGCCCUAUGGGUUGUAAACUGCUUUUGUAUGGGGAUAAAGUCAAUCACGUGUGAUUGUUUGCAGGUACCAUACGAAUAAGGACCGGCUAAUUCCGUG